CCUGCCCCAGAGGUGUCGGAGGUAUGGCUGUGCAUCCUGUCUGUCAGUAGGUGGCAGAGAAAAGAGAGGCUAUGUCAAUGCUCAGUAUUCUGACCUAUGGACAUCUGAAUGAUUAGUAGCUUAAUAUU
ensembl:snoRNA LOC120101315 small nucleolar RNA SNORA17